CUAUGACCAGUCAUACACUCUGGGCUAUUUGAAGUGGGACUGAACCGAAGCUACGGUAGCAAACUAGCAAUUGCUAAACAGGCUAGUUUCAUGGUACCAGUAGUACCAUUGAGAUCGAAUCUUCUGGUGUAAUUGGUUUUAGGUUAGGAUGUCGACCAAUCUGAGGGUGGGAGUUGGUGAUGGCGGAUGGUCAGAGGAAUACGAUUGCGUUCCGCUGCGGUUACGAUUGAAGAUGUUGCAUUUAAUUAAACAUCAAAAGGAAUUUGUAAAAGUUAAAUCUGAGCCUCAGACAAUAUGUGGUUGUUUUGCUGAAAGUGAAACUGUAACUGAAAAGCAGCUGAUUCAAAGUGCAAAUUGUUCUAGCAUGGUCUUAUUUGCCAAAGAUUUAGAAUUACGGAUUCAGCAAGCUUCAGAUAGUCGUGCUGAUCGUUAUGAGGAAUGUCCUAAAGACUAUGGUCUAUCGCAAUUUGAAAAUUGCUUCAUUUCUUCUAGUAAAGUGCUAGCUUCUGAAGCACAAGCUGACACUGAGCAACUUAAAGAUCUAGCAGGUGCUUCUUUACAUCGAACAACAUCAGAUGUUCCUCAUAACAUUCUGCAAGACUGCUUAAUGAGCUACACUAGUGAAAGUGGGCAAGCUAGUGAUGUUAAGCAAGAGAUUUUCUACGAUUUUGAUGAUACUCUGGAUAACAUUUUGUUGAAAGAACGUAGGAAAAUGUUAUUAUUCAGGAAAUUCAUGGAAUCUUCUAGAUCAAAUGCCGAGGAGCAGGAUGACGGAGGGUUGUCUACUUUUUCUAAAGUUAUGCUUCAAAGUGCCGGAAAUGAUUUCAUCCGAGAUGUAGUGAUUGAGAAUAAUAUAGAUCAUGAAGUAAAUGGCUACGAAAAUCUCGGUUCAGAAAUUGCAACUGAUGGGACAUUCCAUACUUCUAAGUACUGCUCAUCAUCUUUGACUGAAUCUUUAGUAUCAAUUAAGUCCAUCCCUUUGACUGCAGGGUGCAAAUCUUUUUGCACCCAAGAAACUACUAUUGUGGAAACAUCAGUUUUACCAUCGCUUGCAAAAGUGAAAGAUGAACCAGUUGAUAUUAAUGAACAGUACUGUGAAGGAAAUAAUGUCAUGCCAAACUCUUACAUUGACCAAACCUUAAGUGUGAAGAAUGAGCCCGUGUUUUCUGAAUUUAUUCUGGACGAGUUAGAUCACUUGCCACUCGCUUAUCGGGUCAAAUUUCUGUCAUCUGGAAUUCCGAGCUCAGAUGCAUCUGGAACACCUGAGAUCAUGGAAGAUGGGGCAUCAGCAAUGGAAUUUGGUAGUGAUGUCUUUGAGUCUGUCAAAUCAAUCAGCAUGAGUCGGCCUAAGAAGAAGAGAAGAACUGCAACUGAUUCAGUUGAGACUGCGUUAGAGGAAGAUGCUCCUGGGCUUUUAAAGGUUUUGCUUGACAGAGGAGUAUUAGCCGAAGAAAUAAAACUAUAUGGGGAAGCAAAUACUGACGACGCCCUUGAUGAUUCUAUUGGUGAAGUUGGUUUUGCAGAGCUUGAAGCUGUUAUAUCACAGCUAUUUUGGCAACGUCAAACUUUUCUUAAAUUUCCUCAUUUACGCUCCAAGGGUGCGAAAAUCGACUAUUGCUUGUCUUGUCUCCUUUCACUUGUAGAGCAGACAAGAUAUUUGCGAAAUAAAAAGUGGCCAAUUGAAUGGGGUUGGUGCCGAGACCUUCAAUCUUUUAUAUUUGUGUUCCAAAGACAUAACAGAAUUGUUUUGGAACGUCCAGAAUAUGGUUUUGCGACAUACUUUUUUGAGCUGCUGAAUUCUGUUCCUGUGGCGUGGCAGAUCAAGCGUCUAGUGACCGCAAUGAAGCUUACAAGCUGUGGCCGGAUCACCUUAAUAGAAAAUAGACCUCUGGUGGUAAUCUACCUUGACUAAUUUUAUGGAUUUCUUUAGUUCUGUCAUCCGCUGAUAAUUUUAUGAACUUGAAAAGAAUUCAUAAAAGAUGCAAGGGUGUCGUUUUUAACACAAAUAAUCAUAGCAAGGAUGUUGUAAAGUUAGAUACAAGUGAGCUCUUUGUAAGUGAGUGUUUUAAGUACAUUGGAUCAAUAUUUCACGAUAACAAAGAUAUUAAUCAAGAUGUAAAACUUAUGAUUCAGUGAGGGUGACAUAAAAAGGAAAGCUGCUACUGCACUAGCAUGCGAUCGAGGUAUGAAAGGUUACAUUGGAUUGCCAUUAUAUCAACGCUAUCAUAUGGAUUAGAAUGUUGGAUUUUCAGGAGAUAUCAUCAUAAGAAGGUAGGGGUAGCUUAGAUUGCAUAGGUCUAGUGAGCAAAUACAAUUUUGGUUGCGGUAAAAAUUGCAGAAUGACUUUGCUGUCAAUGCAUAUGGUUUCGUGGUUGUAUUAACCGAUAUUUUUCCAAGUACUACCUCAUAAGUCUUUAUAAUACAAUUGCGAUAUUGUGAUGUAGAUAAGUAUUACGUUAGGGCUGAUAACGUAUAAUAUUUGUAUUAAGGAUCUCUCAUGUUAAUUUAUUUGGUUAAUGUGGCCAACCCUAUAGGUUAGGAUCAAGACUUUGACAAUGUCAUUGGCGUCGUUGGUAGUGUCACUUGUUUCGCACGCUUCCCCCAUAAAUCUCGGUUGGAUGUGAUCGUCCCAAAUUAAAGUACGUUUGCAGGUCAAAUUGCCCUAGGUCAUGAUUUGAAUUCAGUCAAAUCACCGAUCUGAAGUGUGGGGUUUUUCUCUUACAAACCAAAUAUGAUUCUUCAAGCUCUUCUAUUGAAUCCUCCUUCUAGAAAUUACCACCGCCUGAAGAAGCUCUACACUGAUUCAAGACACUUCACAUUCAACCAUUGUGUACUAUGUUUUUUGUUUCUUUAACUUUUGCAAAAGGGGUGAAACAAUUGAGGAAGAAGGGGCGUUUUCUAUUUUUAAAAUGAGGAAUGGUUUCUGGUUUUGUGUGUAUAACUGUACAAGUGAAGAAGUUCAUAGUAUAAUCUUUAACAUUUUUCUCUCUUUCUUUUACUUUUCUUUUUUCUCGACCUUUUCUUGACUAAAAAAUACAUUUUUCAUUAAAAUGUUGGUUUACAUCUAAGAAGGUCCACUUAGAUCCAAAAUGCUUUGCAUGAGUGAAAAAUGACAUGAAGAACUAUGAUUUGCAGGAAUAUAUGGCAAUAGAUAGAAAUGAAUGAAAAUAGGAAAUAUAUGUAUAAUCAUUGAAAAUUGAUUUUGUCAGUCCUAAAUUAAUAUAAGUACUAGAUAUAGCUGAAUAAUCUUUGUUAGAAUGAUUUUCCACACUUACAUGUAGCUAGCCUCAUAUUAUUGGGAUUAAGACUUAAGCAUUGUUGUUGAAGUGUACUAGUGAGUGGUGAAGACCUUUUUCUUUUGGAGGAUUCUUGGGCAAAAGAAUCCUUUAGUACUGUUUGAUGUGGAUUUUUCAUAGGACCAUACUACUCGCUUAGUAUUCAUGGUGGAAAUGGGCCAUACUAUAUCUUUAUUUUACUCUUGGAGGAAUCUUCGUGAAUGAGUUGGAGCUGGUACAAUCAAUUACAUAGUCACCUACAAAUAAAUUAUGGCCUUCCUCUUUUUUUCUUUUUCUUUUCAUAUAAGUGUUAAAGUAGUUAGAAGCAUUGGAUAUCAGUUGAGUGAAUGAGAAAUAGGAGAAAAUAAGUGAAGAGAAGAAUGGGGAAAGGUUGAAGGUAGGAUAGAUUUUUGCUGCAAGCUUACUAGCAGGUCAGACUUUCAGAGAGGUCUGGAGCUAUACAUGAGGUACAAUAAUUCAUCCUUUUGUCAUGUUAUGUUUCUUUUUCCCUUUUACUAUCCACAUAAGCACAAAGGCUCCAGAGAUUUCUGACACAUUCACAGUAGAUUUUACAGCUAAUUUUUAUUCUUGCCCUCUUGUUGCUCCUUGAUAUGGAAGCAUUAAUAUCUUGCUUGAUUCAUGACAAUCAUGUGUAUCUGAUGUUUUCCUUGUUGAAAAACAAAAAUAUUUGCUUUUUAGCGUUCUCGGGAUUAGCUAGCUGCCUUAUUACUUAAAUAUGAUUUUUAGAGGUUUGCGAGUUCACUAAAUUGAAGGGAAAAUGGUGAUGAUUACUGCCCUUUGUUGGGAAUUUAGAGUUGUAUAAUGGUCAAAAGAGUGUCAAAUCUUAACAAACUAAUUUGUAAGGUACUUUCUGUGGUCAUAUUCUAAUUAUACGCUAGUCAACGAAUUUUCCUUUGUAAUUGUUUUAUGUGCGGUGUCGUUGGACCAUCGUUUUACAAAAUUCUCUUCAGCCUACUUCCGCAAAAGAAGAUUUUCUUGCUUUUUAAUAUUGAUGUUGCUUUGAGCAUUUUGCUAGAUCAUAUAGUCCUAUAUAGGCUGCUGGUAUCGACUCUCCUUUCCUUUGUUUUGCUGAAGAAGGAUUUUGACUAUGCCUAUUUUAAUUAAGUUGUUGCAUUUGCCAAGACAGGUCUCCUUGGCAAUAAGACCUAUGCCUUCCAUUUAGUGGCCUGGCUCAAACAAAUAUUUUUGGAAUGCAUUUAUCUUGGACUCAUUUUCACAUAAUUCUUUUUCUGGGUCUGCAUGUGCCUGUGUCUACAUGAUCCUGACUAUGGUAUGAAUCAACCCAUUAUCAGCCUAUUACUUGUUCCAUGUUUCUAAGUCUUUUAGUUGAUUCUACAAUUCCCUUGUGUUACAGUUGUUUCAUCUCUGCCCUCUUCGCCCUAUUUGCUUCCAUUUUAUGUUCGGCUAUGUGAAGCGUUGCUUUGUGCUUGAUGUAAAAGGUCGGAGAAGACUUAAGUGAAGGGGAAGCUCAAGUUUUAGCUGAUUACGGAUGGACUCCAAACACCGGCUUGGGAACAAUGUUAAAUUACUGCGACAGAGUUUUUCACGACCGGAAGCAGCAGUUCGACAGCUCAGA